rnacentral:rRNA from 1 species
GACAGAGGGUGCAAACGUUGUUCGGAAUUACUGGGCGUAAAGCGCGUGUAGGCGGCCCUGCAAGUCGGAUGUGAAAUCCCAUGGCUCAACUAUGGAAGUGCAUUCGAAACUGCAGGGCUAGAGUCCUGGAGAGGAAGGUGGAAUGCUUGGUGUAGAGGUGAAAUUCGUAGAUAUCAAGCGGAACACCGGUGGCGAAGGCGGCCUUCUGGACAGUGACUGACGCUGAGACGCGAAAGCGUGGGGAGCAAACAGG